AGAGUUUGAUCCUGGCUCAGGACGAACGCAGGCGGCGUGCCUAAUACAUGCAAGUCGAGCGAGACUCUUCGGAGUCUAGCGGCGGACGGGUGAGUAACACGUGGGCAACCUGCCUGUAAGACUGGGAUAACACCGGGAAACCGGUGCUAAUACCGGAUAAUCCUUUUCCUCUCAUGAGGAAAAGCUGAAAGUCGGUUUCGGCUGACACUUACAGAUGGGCCCGCGGCGCAUUAGCUAGUUGGUGAGGUAACGGCUCACCAAGGCGACGAUGCGUAGCCGACCUGAGAGGGUGAUCGGCCACACUGGGACUGAGACACGGCCCAGACUCCUACGGGAGGCAGCAGUAGGGAAUCUUCCACAAUGGACGAAAGUCUGAUGGAGCAACGCCGCGUGAGCGAUGAAGGCCUUCGGGUCGUAAAGCUCUGUUGUUAGGGAAGAACAAGUACCGGAGUAACUGCCGGUACCUUGACGGUACCUAACCAGAAAGCCACGGCUAACUACGUGCCAGCAGCCGCGGUAAUACGUAGGUGGCAAGCGUUGUCUGGAAUUAUUGGGCGUAAAGCGCUCGCAGGCGGUCCUUUAAGUCUGAUGUGAAAUCUCGCGGCUCAACCGCGAACGGUCAUUGGAAACUGGAGGACUUGAGUACAGAAGAGGAGAGUGGAAUUCCACGUGUACCGGUGAAAUGCGUAGAGAUGUGGACGAACACCAGUGGCGAGGCGACUCUCUGGUCUGUAACUGACGCUGAUGAGCGAACGCGUGGGGAGCGAACACGAUUAGAUACCCUGUUACAUCCACGCCGUAAACG
rnacentral:rRNA from 1 species